UACGUAGGGGGCAAGCGUUGUCCGGAAUCAUUGGGCGUAAAGGGUGCGUAGGCGGCGCGGUAAGUCGGGUGUGAAAUCUCGGAGCUUAACUCCGAAACUGCAUUCGAUACUGCCGUGCUUGAGGACUGGAGAGGAGACUGGAAUUUACGGUGUAGCGGUGAAAUGCGUAGAUAUCGUAAGGAAGACCAGUGGCGAAGGCGGGUCUCUGGACAGUUCCUGACGCUGAGGCACGAAGGUCAGGGGAGCAAACGGG
rnacentral:rRNA from 1 species